rnacentral:rRNA from 1 species
CAGGGUAUAGACCCGAAACCCGGUGAUCUAGCCAUGGGCAGGUUGAAGGUUGGGUAACACUAACUGGAGGACCGAACCGACUAAUGUUGAAAAAUUAGCGGAUGACCUGUGGCUGGGGGUGAAAGGCCAAUCAAACCGGGAGAUAGCUGGUUCUCCCCGAAAGCUAUUUAGGUAGCGCCUCGUGAAUUCAUCUCCGGGGGUAGAGCACUGUUUCGGCUAGGGGGCCAUCCCGGCUUACCAACCCGAUGCAAACUGCGAAUACCGGAGAAUGUUAUCACGGGAGACACACGGCGGGUGCUAACGUCCGUCGUGAAGAGGGAAACAACCCAGACCGCCAGCUAAGGUCCCAAAGUCAUGGUUAAGUGGGAAACGAUGUGGGAAGGCCCAGACAGCCAGGAUGUUGGCUUAGAAGCAGCCAUCAUUUAAAGAAAGCGUAAUAGCUCACUGGUCGAGUCGGCCUGCGCGGAAGAUGUAACGGGGCUAAACCAUGCACCGAAGCUGCGGCAGCGAACGUAUCACCCAAGACAACUUUACGGAGUUGACGAUUGACGGAGCGAAGCGACGUCAAAGCGUUCAUUAAAGUCGAGUUGGCUUAGGGAUACGUUCGUUGGGUAGGGGAGCGUUCUGUAAGCCUGUGAAGGUGUGUCGUGAGGCAUGCUGGAGGUAUCAGAAGUGCGAAUGCUGACAUAAGUAACGAUAAAGCGGGUGAAAAGCCCGCUCGCCGGAAGACCAAGGGUUCCUGUCCAACGUUAAUCGGGGCAGGGUGAGUCGACCCCUAAGGCGAGGCCGAAAGGCGUAGUCGAUGGGAAACGGGUUAAUAUUCCCGUACUUGGUGUUACUGC